CAAUUGGCAGGCAUGUGUUAGACCGGGUUCCAUCGGGGCGUAAGGAUGGCGGAAGAAUGUAACGUUUGGGAACAUUGGUUAGACCCUCUUCGGCCGAGAAAUCUCAGAUGACGGUAAUUGUUGGUUUCACAAGUUGAUCCAGAAUGUGGGGAAAAGAAAUCCAGAAUGUAAUUGAAUACAGAGAUUGUGUUAGAUUCAGGUGUCUGUAGCCCACGCGCCAUGAGGGAGAAUAGUUAUCCAAAUAUUUAAACGUGGGGUACGUAAGGUUGCCAUUUGCUUUUGUUGAGGAUGUAAGCGGUAAGCGCUCUCUGGAGUUUCAACUCCUUCAAUUCGUUGCAUUGCGAGUAAGGUUGUUCAUGUUUAGAUUUGCUUCGCUAUGUUAGUUUACUAAAUUUAUAAAUCAAAUUAACCAAAUAUAGAAAUUCGUUUCCUUU